CGCGCAGGCGGUUCGUUAAGUCCGAGGUGAAAUCUCCCGGCUCAACUGGGAGAGGUCUUCGGAUACUGGCGGACUGGAGGUGAGCAGAGGUGAGUGGAAUUCUCGGUGUAGUGGUGAAAUGCGUAGAUAUCGAGAGGAACACCAGUGGCGAAGGCGGCUCACUGGGCUCUACCUGACGCUGAGGCGCGAAAGCGUGGGGAGCGAACCGGAUUAGAUACCCGGGUAGUCCACGCUGUAAACGAUGGACACUAGGUGUGGGGGGUAUUGACCCCUUCCGUGCCGAAGCCAACGCAAUAAGUGUCCCGCCUGGGGAGUACGGCCGCAAGGCUAAA
rnacentral:rRNA from 1 species